AACGGCCCAUGUGCAAGCUGUUGCUUUCCUGUGACUGUUCCUUCUCUCCCUCCAGAGGGAUGCGAUCAAGCUCAUUAACUUUCAGAACUCUCCGAUGUGGACAGGACUUUGGGAGAAAUACAUCUGGGUAUCACAGCUUGUGUUUCAUCUUUCUCUGGAGGCGGGCCAUGCUUGACCCUCAGUUAGCCCAGCAACAGAAUGAACUAAUUAGACACGAAAGUACACUAGCCACAGAAAAUGAAAACACACCGAAAUAACUAAAAAAAAUUACUGUUGGAUGUGUUCUAGAACAAAAUGCCUGGCAUACAAUUUUCAUGCCAAGCAAGCAUUGCCAUGCCCGCAUGAUGCUACUGUGACACGCUCUUCAUUUGGAGUCCUGCAGAAGCUGACUCUGAAUCCAGCACAUGAGUGUAAGGAGCUUAUUUGGCAGGUGAUUCCAGGAAGCACAGCUGGAAAUGAGACCAGGAGAGAAGAAAGCUUAAAACUGUAAAUAAGCCAGUUGUGGUGGUGGGCACCUAGAGCUUUCACCAUGCGGUGUGAUUCUGGGGUCUGUAAAGAACAUGGCUCAGAAUUAUCUCACUCUGGAGGAAGGCAUGAUUCCCCCAUAGUCACAGGCUGGCAGCUCCAGGGCUGGAAAAAGGAUGAUAAUUCUCUAGCACAUGUGACUUGCUUCUCACACAGGUGGUGACAGCCAGUAUUCAGUGCCUUUACCUCCCAGGAAAG
rnacentral:lncRNA from 1 species